rnacentral:tRNA from 4 species
GCCGCUUUAGCUCAGUUGGUAGAGCAUCGCAUUCGUAAUGCGGGGGCCACAGGUUCGAGUCCUGUAAGCGGCACCA